AACAGGAUUAGAUACCCUGGUAGUCCACGCCCUAAACGAUGUCUACUAGUUGUCGGGUUUUAAUUAACUUGGUAACGCAGCUAACGCGUGAAGUAGACCGCCUGGGGAGUACGGUCGCAAGAUUAAAACUCAAAGGAAUUGACGGGGACCCGCACAAGCGGUGGAUGAUGUGGAUUAAUUCGAUGCAACGCGAAAAACCUUACCUACCCUUGACAUGUACGGAAGCCUUGAGAGAUCGAGGUGUGCUCGAAAGAGAGCCGUAACACAGGUGCUGCAUGGCUGUCGUCAGCUCGUGUCGUGAGAUGUUGGGUUAAGUCCCGCAACGAGCGCAACCCUUGUCAUUAGUUGCUACAUUUAGUUGAGCACUCUAAUGAGACUGCCGGUGACAAACCGGAGGAAGGUGGGGAUGACGUCAAGUCCUCAUGGCCCUUAUGGGUAGGGCUUCACACGUCAUACAAUGGUACAUACAGAGGGCCGCCAACCCGCGAGGGGGAGCUAAUCCCAGAAAGUGUAUCGUAGUCCGGAUCGCAGUCUGCAACUCGACUGCGUGAAGUUGGAAUCGCUAGUAAUCGCGGAUCAGCAUGUCGCGGUGAAUACGUUCCCGGGUCUUGUACACACCGCCCGUCACACCAUGGGAGCGGGUUUUACCAGAAGUAGGUAGCUUAACCGCAAGGAGGGCGCUUACCACGGUAGGAUUCGUGACUGGGGUGAAGUCGUAACAAGGUAACC
rnacentral:rRNA from 1 species